GAUGAACGCUGGCGGCGUGCCUAAUACAUGCAAGUCGAGCGAACGGACGAGAAGCUUGCUUCUCUGAUGUUAGCGGCGGACGGGUGAGUAACACGUGGAUAACCUACCUAUAAGACUGGGAUAACUUCGGGAAACCGUAGCUAAUACCGGAUAAUAUUUUGAACCGCAUGGUUCAAAAGUGAAAGACGGUCUUGCUGUCACUUAUAGAUGGAUCCGCGCUGCAUUAGCUAGUUGGUAAGGUAACGGCUUACCAAGGCAACGAUGCAUAGCCGACCUGAGAGGGUGAUCGGCCACACUGGAACUGAGACACGGUCCAGACUCCUACGGGAGGCAGCAGUAGGGAAUCUUCCGCAAUGGGAGAAAGCCUGACGGAGCAACGCCGCGUGAGUGAUGAAGGUCUUCGGAUCGUAAAACUCUGUUAUUAGGGAAGAACAUAUGUGUAAGUAACUGUGCACAUCUUGACGGUACCUAAUCAGAAAGCCACGGCUAACUACGUG
rnacentral:rRNA from 1 species